GACCGUGUGGCCCAAUGGAUAAGGCGCCUGCCUACGGAGCAGGAGACUCUGGGUUCGAACCCCAGCAUGGUCG
rnacentral:tRNA from 2 species